rnacentral:RNase_P_RNA from 1 species
ACAGUCUGCCGUUCCAUCGUUCCCCGAAUCCGGUUCAUGCCGUUUAGGCGGGGAAAGGAAAGUCCGGGCAACACAGAGCACCAUACUUUCUAACAGAAAGAUAUCCGUGAGGAUAUAUCAGGUGUAACAGAAAAUAACCACCCGGGGUUAAGGUGACAACCGAAAUACCGGGAACGGGUGAAAAGGUGAGGUAAAGGCUCACCGGUAUUGAUGGUGACAUCAAUAGCCGUACACCUUAUGGGUUGAAAGACCAUGUAUACCGGCCAUAAGGAUUGCUCGUCCGAUGCCGGGGGGUGGGUCGUACGAUCCGGUCAGCAAUGGCCGGACCAGAUAAAUGAUGGAAUCCGGUUAAAUAAUCUUUUGCAGAUAGUCUGACCGGCACAGAAUCCGGCUUACAGGCAGGCUGUUUUU